rnacentral:misc_RNA from 1 species
AAGUCGUAACAAGGUUUCCGUAGGUGAACCUGCGGAAGGAUCAUUAACACAAGAAGUGCUUGCGUCUCGGGGUCUUUACCGGCUCCGAGCGCAACAUCUCUUUUCAACCCCCCUCUUGUAAACGUGUUUUUUCACAUUCAGUUCUCCCGGGCGUGCUGGCUUGCUAGGUCUUGUCUUCGUGACAAACGUAGUGUGUUCACACGUCUGUGGCUUCUAAACUAUUUACCCCUUGAAUUUUUUUGACUGACAUCUGAGUCGCAAUCAUUAAUUUGAUUCGAUUCUGCCAUUAUAUCAAAACGCUGAACAACUCUUAGCAACGGAUAUCUUGGCUCUC